GCCCGUCGCUACUACCGAUUGAAUGGCUUAGUGAGGCUUCCGGAUUGGUUUAGGAAAGGGGGCAACUCCAUUCUGGAACCGAGAAGCUAGUCAAACUUGGUCAUUUAGAGGAAGUAAAAGUCGUAACAAGGUUUCCGUAGGUGAACCUGCGGAAGGAUCAUUACUGAUUUGCUUAAUUGCACCACAUGUGUUUUUUAUUGAACAAAUUUCUUUGGUGGCGGGAGCAAUCCUACCGCCAGAGGUUAUAACUAAACCAAACUUUUUAUUUACAGUCAAACUUGAUUUAUUAUUACAAUAGUCAAAACUUUCAACAACGGAUCUCUUGGUUCUCGCAUCGAUGAAGAACGCAGCGAAAUGCGAUACGUAAUAUGAAUUGCAGAUAUUCGUGAAUCAUCGAAUCUUUGAACGCACAUUGCGCCCUUUGGUAUUCCAAAGGGCAUGCCUGUUUGAGCGUCAUUUCUCCCUCAAACCCCCGGGUUUGGUGUUGAGCAAUACGCUAGGUUUGUUUGAAAGAAUUUAACGUGGAAACUUAUUUUAAGCGACUUAGGUUUAUCCAAAACGCUUAUUUUGCUAGUGGCCACCACAAUUUAUUUCAUAACUUUGACCUCAAAUCAGGUAGGACUACCCGCUGAACUUAAGCAUAUCAAUAAGCGGAGGAAAAGAAACCAACAGGGAUUGCCUUAGUAGCGGCGAGUGAAGCGGCAAAAGCUCAAAUUUGAAAUC
rnacentral:rRNA from 1 species